UUUUCCCAGAUAACUCCCGUGUCCUCUUCUCCUUCAUUGAAAAUUUUAUUUCUUUCUAAUCAUAUACUGCCUAAUGGUACUCUUUAUAGAAGUUCCAAGUACAUAUGACAUUUUAUUGUCACUUGUUAUCUUAUAUUUAUAUGGUGCAUCUAAUCUAUGAUACAAAAUUAUGGUGCAUUCUUGGAGAAAGACGGAGUAGGGUUUAGAGGGCAAGUUAAACUUACUGGAUUUCAAAAUGGGGAUAUAGAUCUCUCAAAGUCUUUAUGGACCUACUAGGUUGGGCUCAAGGGAGAAUUCUUGAAGAUAUAUGCUGCAGAAGAAAAUGAAAAGGCAGGGUGGACUGAUUUAACUCCAGAUGCUGAUCCAUCGAUAUUAACAAUUUGAUGGCACCGCCUCCACCACCUCCAACAGACCAAGCUUCAGAUGCAAAUUUAAGAGAGUCGCCAUCUAUUUUAGUUCGGGAGUCACAAGAUGAUUCUUAGUUUAUUUACAUUAAUUUACUAAGGAAUGAACUUUAUGAAGUUUUUUUUAUUUUGGUAGGGGUAACCUUAAAAUGAUAACUUUAUGACUUAUUUUAGUAUUGAACAUUAUAAAUAAUUUUAGCAUUAAACA